GACAAUACCAUUCUCUGUCUCAUGGGGCGUCCUCCUGCUGGCAGGCCUGUGCUGCCUGGUCCCCAGCUCCCUGGUUGAGGAUCCCCAGGAAGAUGCUGCCCAAAAGACGGAUACAUCCCACCAUGAUCAAGGGGACUGGGAGGACCUUGCUUGCCAGAAGAUCUCCUAUAACGUCACCGACCUCGCCUUUGAUUUGUACAAAGAGCUGGCUGAUCUAUCACAAACCAGCAAUGUCUUAGUCACCCCAACAAGCGUGGCUAUGGCCUUUGCAAUGCUCUCCCUGGGGACCAAGGCUGACACUCGCACAGAGAUCCUGGAAGGCCUGAAUGUCAACCUCACAGAGACGCCUGAGGCCAAGAUCCACGAAUGCUUCCAGCAAGUUCUCCAAGCCCUCAGCAGGCCAGACACCCGGCUCCAGCUGACCACCGGCAGUAGCCUGUUUGUUAACAAGAGUAUGAAGCUAGUGGACACGUUUUUGGAGGAUACCAAGAAGCUGUACCACUCAGAAGCCUCUUCCAUCAACUUCAGGGACACCGAGGAGGCCAAAGAGCAGAUCAACAAUUAUGUGGAGAAAAGAACUGGAAGAAAAGUAGUGGAUUUGGUCAAACACCUGAAAAAAGACACAAGUCUUGCCCUGGUGGAUUACAUUUCCUUUCACGGCAAGUGGAAAGAUAAAUUCAAGGCUGAGCGCAUUAUGGUAGAGGGCUUCCAUGUGGAUGAUAAGACCAUCAUCAGAGUGCCUAUGAUAAACCACCUGGGUAGAUUUGACAUCCACCGGGACAGGGAGUUAUCCAGCUGGGUGCUGGCACAGCACUAUGUGGGGAACGCCACUGCCUUCUUCAUCCUGCCCGAUCCAAAGAAGAUGUGGCAGUUGGAAGAAAAAUUGACCUACAGCCACCUUGAAAAUAUCCAGAGAGCCUUUGACAUAAG